rnacentral:lncRNA from 1 species
CUAUUUUUUUGCUAGCACCACAGACCUUCAAGAUUCAUAAACUAUGAAUGCAAACAACAGAUCAUUAAAAGUAUACUUUGUGCUAGUGAUUUCUUCUCAUCACUUCAACAGAGAAAAAGAACAUUCUAGAAUCCUAACAAUGGUGACAAGGGGUGUGGACACAGCGUUGUUAGGAGGGGGAGACACCAGAGCACCAACUUCUCUCACUUAAACCUUAUGACAACCUUAAGAAGUAGGCAGCAUGAUCCCCUUCUUGGAAAUGCAGAAAGAGAGAAUGGGGGAGAUUGAGAGGCUUGCAGAAUGUGACAUCAUUAGGGAGAACAGUGGUUGAGGUCCAGCAGCUCCUGCAGAUGGGUGGUGGUGGAAGGAGGAGAGAAUGGGCCACAGGCAGGCCAAGGGCAAGCUUAGCAGCACUCAACAUCCUCCAUGAACUCAACAGAAGUCAAGAAUGCAGGCAGCUCAUGAUGAAGACCUGCAGCGGCCCAGGUUUACCAAGCUCAUUCACAAUUGCAGUUGGAGAAUUCGUCUUUGGUCAUUUUCUACUUUGGAAAUACGAAGAGAAGCAGAUGAAUGGGAGUACUGAUGCCAGCUUU